rnacentral:rRNA from 1 species
UACGUAGGGGGCUAGCGUUGUCCGGAAUCAUUGGGCGUAAAGCGCGUGUAGGCGGUCCGGUAAGUCCGCUGUGAAAGCCAGGGGCUCAACCCUUGGAUGCCGGUGGAUACUGUCGGGCUUGAGUACGGAAGAGGCGAGUGGAAUUCCUGGUGUAGCGGUGAAAUGCGCAGAUAUCAGGAGGAACACCAAUUGCGAAGGCAGCUCGCUGGGACGUUACUGACGCUGAGGCACGAAAGCGUGGGGAGCAAACAGG